rnacentral:rRNA from 1 species
CUACGGGAGGCAGCAGCAAGGAUCUUCGCAUGGAGGCAGCUGACGAGCAACGCGCGUGGGGGAUGACGCCUUCGGGUGUAAACCCCUAUUCUGCGGGAAGAAGGGCUCGGCCUUGACGGUACCGGAGGAAGAAGGACCGGCUAACUACGUGCCAGCAGCCGCGGUAAUACGUAGGGUCCGAGCGUGUCCGGGAGUUACUGGGCGUAAAGCGCGCGCAGGCGGCGGUGCUGGCCCGGCGUGAAAGCCCCCGGCUCAACCGGGGGGGGUCGUCGGGGACCGCACCGCCUGAGGGCGGUAGGGGCUGGUGGAAUGCCUGGUGUAGUGGUGAAAUGCGUAGAGAUCAGGCGGAACACCCGUGGCGAAGGCGGCCAGCUGGGCCGUCCCUGACGCUGAGGCGCGAAGGCGUGGGGAGCGAACGGGAUUAGAUACCCCGGUAGUCCACGCAGUAAACGAUGCCGACUAGGCGUGGGGGGAGUUGACCCCCUCCGUGCCGGAGCCAACGCGGGAAGUCGGCCGCCUGGGGAGUACGGCCGCAAGGCUAAAACUCAAAGGAAUUGACGGGGGCCCGCACAAGCGGCGGAGCGUGCGGUUUAAUUCGACGCGACGCGUAGAACCUUACCAAGGCUUGACAUGCGCCUGCAUCCCCCGGAAACGGGGUGGCCUUCGAGGGUGGCGCACAGGUGCUGCAUGGCUGUCGUCAGCUCGUGCCGUGGGGUGUUGGGUUAAGUCCCGCAACGAGCGCAACCCCUGUGGGUAGUUAACUGCUCUACCCAGACUGCCGGUCGCAAACCGGAGGAAGGUGGGGAUGACGUCAAGUCAGCAUGGCCCUUACGUCUUGGGCGACACGCACGCUACAAUGGCCGGGACAGCGGGUAGCCAAGCCGCGAGGCGGAGCGAAUCCCCCAAACCCGGUCUCAGUUCGGAUCGUGGGCUGCAACCCGCCCACGUGAAGCUGGAGUCGCUAGUAACCGCGGGUCAGCACUACCGCGGUGAAUACGUUCCCGGG